rnacentral:rRNA from 1 species
UACGUAGGGGGCUAGCGUUGUCCGGAUUUAUUGGGCGUAAAGAGCGUGUAGGCGGCCAGGUAGGUCUGGUGUGAAAACUCGAGGCUUAACCUCGAGAUGUCAUCGGAAACCAUCUGGCUAGAGUCCGGAAGAGGAGAGUGGAAUUCCUGGUGUAGCGGUGAAAUGCGCAGAUAUCAGGAAGAACACCAAUGGCGAAAGCAGCUCUCUGGGACGGUACUGACGCUGAGACGCGAAAGCGUGGGGGAGCAAACAGG